UUAAUUAAUCAUUAUUGUUAAGAAAAAUAAAUAUGUUAAAAUUAUAAAUUAUAUAUAUAUAUAUAUUUAUGGGGAACACCCAAAUUAAACCUAAGUAUAUUAGAUUAUACUAUUGUAAAAAUUGUGGUGGGGAUCACGAAGAGAAAAAGUGAAAAAAAUAAAACAUAAUUUCUGGUUUGCGCAACCAAUAAUAAAAUAAAAUAAAGCUGCGAUUCACCACCUUCGGGGGGACCCUCCAUCUUAGAAUAAAUAAAAAAAACUCUGCGAUUAACUGCUAUGAAAUAAAAAUAUAAAUUAAGGCUCGACCAGCCGCAUAACAAAAUAAAAAGACCCCCAUAACUUAGCUCAAUUCUGCGAAUCCUACAUAAAAGGACCCUCCAGAAUAGAAGAGCAUCUCUUCCUAGAAGAAAUUAUACAAGUAUAAAAUAAUAAUAAAGUUCUUUCUCUAAACUAAAAAAAAAAAAAUAAUAAUUAAUCAUGGUUAAUGAAGCAGGAUUAACGGUAGAUUUAAUAACGCGCCUAAUUGCGGAAAGCAAUAUUACAAUAAGGCAAGAAAUUGGCAGAUUAAAAACUCAAGUUGAAAUUGAAACACACAGAGUAACAGAUUUUCACACGGAAAUAAUAAAUGACAACAUUCAGUGUCAUGAGUCACUAGAUGUUAUAAAAUCAUUACCAGAAUUUUCAGGAAGGAUAAACGCUUAUGUUAGCUGGCGCGAAGCAGCACAUAACGUUAUGGGUCUAUAUGUAGGAGGUAGCCGAAAGUACUUCGCAGCCCUUACGAUUUUGCGUAACAAAAUUACACUAGAAGCAAAUGACACAUUAACCAACCAUGGUACUGUGUUAAAUUUUGACGCGAUAAUUGCGCGUCUCGAUUUUGCAUAUUCGGACAAACGUCCAAUACAUAUCAUAGAACAAGAAAUGAGUGUUCUACGACAAGGCUCAAUGACGGUCAUUUAAUAUUAUAAUUUUGUUAACAAAAAACUAACAUUGAGAAUUGAACAAAAAGAAUAGAGACCAGGCUCUUAGAAUAUUUAUAACUGGACUUAACGCUCCAUUAAGAGAUAUUAUAUUUUCCCUCUGUCCGGAAGAUUUGCCCGACGCAUUGGCCAAAGCUCAGGAAUUAGAGUCCAAUAAUCAGAGAGCUCAAUUUGCACAAAAUUUUGCAAAUGAAAGGACAAGAGUAAAACAGUUUUAUCCAAGUAAUAAUUUACGAUUUCCUCAGAGGAGCAACAUGCCAAAACCAGAACCAAUGGAUAUAGAUCCAUCUAUGUCUAGAUCAUACCGAAGGGAAAAUUACCCAAAGCCCCAAUUAAACAAUAGCCAUAAAUACCAAAAUUUUGGAAAACCAUAGGCCAGUACAAGCCAUCAAGCCGAUAUGGACCAACCAAAUAGGUAUAUUUCAAAUAAAAACAUCCAAGGAAUAAAACGACUAAUUAUAGCUUUCACCCACAGGAGAAAACCCAGAAGAUAAACAACAUGAAUGAGAGUCAUUUUUUAGGCAAAGAGGGGAUGAACUCCCCUAUCUAAAGCUCUACGACUCAAAAAUAAAGAAAAGUUUAAAAGCUCUAGCCGAUACAGGAGCAACCUCUUGCUACGCUAAGCCUGGGGUUUAUAAUAACAAAAACGAACUAGCCAUUUAUAAACGGAUAAAAACCGUGAACGGCUAUUCCAUAAUAAAGCAUUACCAUAUAAUAACCAUAUUUGGGGUCGAAGAAAUUUUCUACGAAAUAGAAGGUUUAGAAUCGGAUCUCCUUUUGGGAUACAAUUUCCUUAAAAAAAUUGAGGCACUUAUCGACGUGCCCAAUGGGAAAAUAAAUUAAUUGAAAAAAAAAAUAAUAAUAAAAAUGAAGCAAACAGUAUAAACAUUUAUUUUGAAAAUAAAAAUGGAGAAAACUUAAAAAUCAAGGAACAAAAAGUUUCUGCACAUUUAACCGAGUGAAAUAUCAGUAAAAAUAAAAAAGAAAACAAUAAGGAACAAAAAGCUUCCGCUAAACUAACCGAUAAAAAUAUUGAUAUAAAUAAAAAAAUGAAGGAACAUAAAGAUUCCGUAAAACUAGCCGAAGCAACUACCGGCAAUAAUAUAUUAAAAAAAUUUAUUUUGGGACAAAAAGAUCCUAAAACGCCAGCUGAAGAUUUAUACCAGCAGAAUAAAAAUAAUAAAUAUUACCACACCACAAUUAAAUCCUUAAUGCAAAGGUUAAAUAUUGAAAUUUACUUUUGUGAUCCACGUCAUAGCGCAACUAAUGGACAAGUUGAAAGAGUUCAUUCAACGAUAAUCGAAAUAGCCAGAUGUAUAAAAGAAGAAUACAAUAUUGUCAGUAAUUUAGAAACAGUACUUAGAGCAGCGCAACAAUACAAUACAACAAUUCAUUCAGUAACGAAAUUUAAACCAAAUGAAGUACUUUAUAAUAGGGUAAACCAUGAAAACUUACCAACCACUUUAAAGCAAGCACAGGAGAAAAUGCUAAUGUUUCAUAAUAAACAUAGAACAGAUAAGCAAUAUCAUCCUGGACAAAUUAUUUAUGAAAAAAUAAUAGGAGAGAGAAAUAAAUUACAACCUAGGUAUAAGAAACAACAAGUUAAAGAAAACUUGGGGAAUAACAUAAUAAUAAAUAAUAGAAAUAGAAUUAUACAUUAAGAUAACAUAAAAUCAUAAUUAAUUAGAGGUUUUCAAAAUGAUCCUUUCAAUUUUCACAUUAAUAAUUGGCUUAACGACAGCUGAUAUCAUAGAUUACACCCGACAGGACUACGUACUUAUUGAAAAUGGAGACGUUUCCAUUUAUGAAGAAUAUGGAGAUAUAUUUCACAUCACGAAUUUAACAAUCUUUGAAAAUAUAAAAAAAUAAUAUAAUAUACAGAAGAAAAAAGAAGUUUUAUAACAAUGUGAAAUAUGGAAUUGAUAGUAAUGAUAAUUUAGAAAAUAUCACUCAAGAAACAGAACCAGAAAUAUUAUUAAUUGAAACUUUAUUAGGACAGUUAAAACAAAACCAUGUUAGACAAAUAAGAGGAAUAAAUGAAUUAGGUACACUUUGGAAAUGGAUAGCAGGAACUCCAGAUCAUGACGAUUUCAUAAAAAUAAAUGAUAGAUUAAAUGAUCUAAUAAAAGAGAGUGUGCUUAUGACCGCACGACUGAAGUAAAACUUCUUUCUCUCUAUCUAUAUAUAUAUAUAUGAAUGUGUGUGUGCAAUAUAUACAUGUAUGCAUAUAUACAUAUAUUUAUUUCCUACAAAAAGUUUCUAUUUAAGUUCAAUCACUGUAUGUAUGAUGUUCUCUGAUACAUACCAGGAACUGCAAAACUCACUUUUUCCUUGAAUCAGCUCAUACGCAAAAGUUUCUAACUAUUUAAGUCCAAUCACUGUGCGUGCCGAAACUCAAAGAGUCACGCCCGGAACACAUAGAGCGGGGCAGGCUGCAAGCGACAUCUGUCAAAUAUUAAAAUACACACGUUCUUAUGGACACAGUUAUGUAGUUGUGCAGCUGUCUAAAUAACUGUGUCCUUAAGAAUGUGUGUAUUUCAAUAUCAGAUUCAGAUGGCGCUUGCAGUCUGUCGCGUUCUAUGUGUUCAGCACAUCAAUUUGUCGAAGCAUUGACGCGACGAGACGCGAAAGAAACUAACAAACGAUCGCCGAUUGUUACCGCUUCCCUUGCCGCUGUAACAGCUUCGCCUUCCAACGUGCGUAAAUAUGUAUUCAUAUGUAUGAACUUGCAUAAGGAGCAUGCGUGCAUGUGUUUAUGUUUUCAUAUUCAUAUUCAUGCAUACAUAUAUUUAUGUCUCUUCAUAUUCUUGCGUAUGUGAGACAGAGACAUAAUGUAUUUUGUACACAUUUUCGGUGUCAAAAUGAAACAAAAUAUAAACAAGCAAAACGAAAUUCUUCGUUGGGAGUCUCUUCAUAUUCUCUUCUUCGGCAUAUAUGCCUUGUCAUCAUAUGCCGUAAAUACAUUGUAUAUUUCUGUCUCUUCAUAUUCUCGGUUAGAAUAGGUGAGAGAAUUGUAAACAAUGUUAAGUGCCCUGGAGACGAUCAAAUAAUUGCGUCAAACACUUUAAUUGUGUUGGUAUCGUCGGCUCUCGUCGGCUACACGUACGCUACACCGACUUGUUGUCGGCUCUGUUUGAUGAAAAUCAAAAAUUUUUGAUAUUUCUAUGUAUUUCACGGACGAUAAUUUGAUCGUCUCCACUCAUGUUUGACAAGCAUGACUCAUUUGCAGUGAAGACUUCAAGCGAAGAGGACAUACAUACUUGCGGAAAAGUGAAGUGAAGCGAAAAAGAGUGAAGUGAAGAAGAAAAAAAAUUGCAGCACAUGCCAAUAAAAGAUAAUCAUCAUCCGACGAUGACAUGACGACCGUUCGCUACGAGAUCAAAAAUAAACUGAUGUUUGACGUGUUAAUUUGAACGUUUGCGGGCAACACACGAUUGAACAUCACUAACACAUAUGCACUGUUUGACGCAAUUAUUUGAUCGUCUCCAGGGCACUUUAAAA